UACGAGGGGAGCAAGCGUUGUUCGGAUUUACUGGGCGUAAAGGGCGCGUAGGCGGCCACGACAAGUCAGACGUGAAAUCCCUCAGCUUAACUGGGGAACUGCGUCUGAUACUGGAUGGCUUGGAUCCGGGAGAGGAAUGCGGAAUUCCAGGUGUAGCGGUGAAAUGCGUAGAUAUCUGGAGGAACACCGGUGGCGAAGGCGGCAUUCUGGACCGACAUUGACGCUGAGGAGCGAAAGCCAGGGGAGCAAACGGG
rnacentral:rRNA from 1 species